AUACAUCAUCUCGCAACCAACUCAUUGGUUGCAAUGCUUGCAAGGCUUAUGUGAUGUGCAUUACCGAGAGGGCCCAGAGAUACCUCUCCGACAAUCGGAGUGACAAAUCCUAAUCUUGAAAUAUGCCAACCCAACAUGUACCUUUGGAGACACCUGUAAUGCUCCUUUAUAAUCACCCAGUUACGUUGUGACGUUUGGUAGCACCCAAAGUGUUCCUCCGGCAAACGGGAGUUGCAUAAUCUCAUAGUCAUAGGAACAUGUAUAAGUCAUGAAGAAAGCAAUAGCAACAUACUAAACGAUCGGGUGCUAAGCUAAUGGAAUGGGUCAUGUCAAUCAGAUCAUUCAACUAAUGAUGUGAUCUCGUUAAUCAAAUAACAAGUCUUUUGUUCAUGGUUAGGAAACAUAGCCAUCUUUGAUUAACGAGCUAGUCUAGUAGAGGCAUACUAGUGACACUCUGUUUGUCUAUGUAUUCACACAUGUAUUAUGUUUCCGGUUAAUACAAUUCUAGCAUGAAUAAUAAACAUUUAUCAUGAUAUAAGGAAAUAAAUAAUAACUUUAUUAUUGCCUCUAGGGCAUAUUUCCUUCAGCUAUCUGGUGAUCCGGUCCUAGAUCACCUUUGUACCCUCUUGCCAGACAUGUGGCAAGGCACACAUCAGGUGCGGUACUCAGCAUGGCAUACCGUAUAGAGCCAAUGACAAGAGCAUAGGGGACGGCCUUCGUCCUUCCUCUUUCUUCUGUCGUGGUCAAGCUUUGAGUCUUACUCAACUCCACGCCUUACAACUCAGGUAAGAACCCCUUCUUUGACUGAUCUAUUUUGAAGUCCUUCAAAAACAUGUCAAGGUGUGCGUUCUUUGAAAGUAUCAUCAGGCGUCUUGAUCUACUUCUAUAGAUCCUGAUGCCCAAUAUGUAAACAGCUUUAUCCAGGUCUUCCUUUGAAAAUCACUCUUCAAACAACCGUUUAUGCUUUCCAGAAAUUCUACAUCAUUUCGAAUCAACAAUAUGUCAUCCACAUAUACUUAUUAGAAAUGUUGUAGUGCUCCCACUCACUUUCUUGUAAAUACAAGUUUCUAGCAAACAUUGUAUAAACCUAAAAGCUUUGAUCACUCCAUCAAAGCAUAUAUUCUGACUCCGAGAUGCUUGCUCUAGUCCAUAGAAGGAUCGCUGGAGCCAGCAUACCUUUUAGCAUCCUUAGGAUCGACAAAACUUUGAUUGUAUCACAUACAACUCUUUCUUACGAAAACUGGUAAGAAAACUUGUUUUUGACAUCCAUCUGUCAGAUUUCAUAAUCUAAAAAUACAGCUAAUGCUAACAUGAUUCCGACGGACUUAAGCAUCGCUACGGGUGAGAAAUUCUCAUCGUAGUCAACUCCUUGAACUUGUGAAAAGACUCUUUCCCCAAGUCGAGCUUCAUAGACGGUAACAUUACCGCCCACGUCCGUCUUCUUCUUAAAGAUCCAUUUAUCUCAAUGGCUCGCUGAUCAUCGGGCAAGUCCACCAAAGUCCAUACUUUAUUCUGAUACAUGGAUCCUAUCUCGGAUUUCAUGGCUUAUAACCAUUUGUCAGAAUACGGGCCCACCAUCGCUUCUCCAUAGCUCGUAGGUUCAUUGUUGUCUAACAACAUGAUAUCUAAGACAGGAUUACCAUACCACUCAGGAGUAGUACAUAUCCUUGUCGACCUACGAGGUUCGAUAGCAACUUGAUCCGAAGCUUCAUGAUCACUAUCAUUAACUUCAUAUUCAACAGGCGUAGGCUCCACAGAAAACAUCUUUCUGUGUUGCAUCACUCUCUGGUUGAAGUAAAGGUUCGACAACCUCAUCAAGUUCUAUCUUCCUCCCACUCAAUUCUUUCGAGAGAAACUCCUUCUCGAGAAAGGACCCGUUCUUAGCGACAAACAAUUUUCCAUCGGAUCUGAGAUAGAAGGUAUACCCAACUGUCACCUUUGGGUAUCCUAUGAAGAUGUGUUUGUCCGCUUUGGGUUCGAGCUUCUCCGGCUGAUGCCUUAAGCAUCGCAGCCCCAAACAUUAAGAAAUGACAACUUUGGUUUCUUGACAAACCAAUGUUCAUACGGCGUCGUCUCAACAGACUUAUAUGGGUGUCCUAUCUAAAGUGAAUGCAGCUGUCUCUAGUGCAUAACCUCAAAAUAAUAGCGGUAGAUCGGUAAGAGACAUCAUAGAUCACACCAUAUCUCAUAAGGUUCGAUUACGACGUCCGGACACACCAUUACCCUGUGGUGUUCCAGGUGGCUUCAACUGUGAAACAAUUCCACAAUGUCUUAAGUGUUUGCCAAACUCAUAACUCAGAAAUUCUCAUUGAUCAGAUCGUAGGAAUUUGAUCUUCUUGUUAUGAUGAUUCUUAACUUCACUCUGAAAUCGCUUGAACUUUUCAAACAUUUCAGACUUGUGCUUCAUUAAGUAAAUAUACCUAUAUCUACUCAAAUCGUCAGUGAAGAUGAGAAAAUAGCGAUAUACACCGCACGCUUCAAUUCUCAUUGGAUCACACGCAUCAGCAUGUAUGAUUUCCAACAAGUCACUUGCCCGUUUCAUUGUACCUGAAAACGGGGUCUUAGUCAUCCUUCCCAUGAGGCAUGGCUCGCAUGUGUCAAGCGAUUCAAAAUCAAGUGACUCCAAACAUCCAUCGACAUGGAGUUUCUUCAUGCAUCUUACGCCAAUAUGACCUAAGCGGCAGUGCCACAAGAAAGUGGUACUAUCAUUAUUAACUCUACAUCCUUUGGCGUGAACAUGUGUAUUACCACGACCGAGAUUCAAUGAACCAUUCACAUAGGGUGCAUGUCCAUGAAAGGUAUUAUUCAUGUAAACAGAAUAACCAUUAUUCUCUAAUUUAAAUGAAUAACCGUAUUGCAAUGAACAUGAUCUAAUCAUAUUCAUGCUCAACGUAGACACCUGAUAACUAAUCCCGAAGGCAGAUGGAGCGUGCGAUGGUGAUCUCAUCAACUUUGGAAACACUUCCAACACACAUCGUCACCUCGCCCUUAGCCAGUCUCCGUUUAGUCCGUAGCUUUUGCUUCAAGUCACCAAUAAUAGCAACUGAACCGGUAUCCAAUACCCAGGUGCUACCAGGAGUACUAGUGAGGUACACAUUAAUAACACGUAUAUACUUUGAAGUUGCCAGCCUUCUUAUCUACCAUGCAUUUGGGGUAAUUCCGCUACCAGUGACCGUUCCCCUUACAAUAGAAGCACUUAGUCCCGGGUUUGGGUUCAACCUUGGGUUCCUUCACUGGAGCGGCAACUGGUUUGCCAUCCAUGAAGUUUCCCUUCUAGCCCUUGCCCUUCUUGAAACCAGUGGUCUUGUUAAACCAUCAACACUUGAUGCUCCUUCUUGAUUUCUACCUUUUGCGGUCUUAAGCACUGCGAACAGCUCCGGGAUCAACUCCAUCCCUUGCAUGUCAUAGUUCAUCACGAAGAUCUAGUAGCUUAGUGAUAGUGGCUAGAGAACUCUAUCAAUCACUAUCUUAUCUGGAAGUUUAACUCCCACUUGAUUUAAGUGAUUGUAGCACCCAGACAUUCUGAGCAUAUGCUCACUAGCUGAGCUAUUUUCCUCCAUCUUGUUGGCAAAAGAACUUGUCAGAGGUCUCACACCUCUCAACACGGGCAUCAGCCUGAAAUCCCAAUUUCAGCUCUUGGAACAUCUCAUAUGUUCUAUGGCGUUCAAAACAUCAUUGGAAUCCCGAUUCUAAGCCGUAAAGUAUGGUGCACUAAACUAUCAAGUAGUCAUCAGGAUGUGUCUGUCAGGUGUUCACAACAUCCACAGACGAUGUUGUAGGGGUUUGCACAUCGAGCGGUGCAUCAAAGACGUAAGCCUUCUGUGUAGCAGUGAGGACACUCCUCGGACUACGGACCUAGUCCGCAUCAUUGCUUACAAUAUCUUUCAACUUAAUCUUUCUCUAGGAACGUAUUGAAACAGGGAGCUACAAUGUGAGCUAUUUAUCUACAACAUAUUUGCAAAGACAAUUUAGACUAUGUUCAUGAUAAUUGAGUUCAUCUAAUCAAAUUAUUUAAUGAACUCCCACUCAGAUAGACAUCUCUCUAGUCAUCUAAGUGAAACAUGAUCUGAAUCGACUAGGCCGUGUCCGAUAAUCACGUGAGACGGACUAGUCAUCAACGGUGAACAUCUCAUGUUGAUCGUAUCUUCUAUACGACUCAUGUUCGACCUUUCGGUCUUCCGUGUUCCGAGGCCAUGUCUGUACAUGCUAGGCUCGUCAAGUCAACCUAAGUGUUUCGCAUGUGUCCCGAGGCCAUGUCUGUACAUGCUAGGCUCGUCAACACCCGUUGUAUUCGAACGUUAGAAUCUAUCACACCCGAUCAUCACGUGGUUCUUCGAAAAAACGAACCUUCGCAACGGUGCACAGUUAGGAGGAACACUUUUCCUGAAAUUUUAGUGAGGGGUCAUCUUAUUUAAGCUACCAUCGUUCUAAGCAAAUAAGAUGUAAAACAUGAUAAACAUCACAUGCAAUCAAAUAGUGACAUGAUAUGGCCAAUAUCAUUUUGCUCCUUUUGAUCUCCAUCUUCAGGGCUCCAUGAUCAUCAUUGUCACCGGCAUGACACCAUGAUCUCCAUCAUCGUGUCUUCUUGAAGUUGUCUCGUCAUCUAUUACUUCUACUACUAUGGCCAACGCUUUAGCAAUAAAGUAAAGUAAUUACAUGAUGUUUAUGUUGACACGCAUGUCAUAAAUAAAUUAAGACAACUCCCAUGGCUCCUGCCGGUUGUCAUACUCAUCGACAUGCAAGUCGUGAUUCCUAUUACAAGAACAUGAUCAAUCUCAUACAUCACAUAUAUCAUUCAUCACAUCCUUUUGGCCAUAUCACAUCACAAGGCAUAUGCUGCAAAAACAAGUUAGACGUCCUCUAAUUGUUGUUGCAAGUUUUUACGUGGCUGCUAUAGGUUUCUAGCAAGAACGUUUCUUACCUACGCGAAAACCACAACGUGAUAUGCCAAUUUCUAUUUACCCUUCAUAAGGACCCUUUUCAUCGAAUCCGAUCCGACUAAAGUGGGAGAGACAGACACCCGCUAGCCACCUUAUGCAACUAGUGCAUGUCAAUCGGUGGAACCAGUCUCACGUAAGCGUACGUGUAAGGUCAGUCCGGGCCGCUUCAUCCCACGAUGCCGCCGAAUCAAGAUAAUACUAGUAACGACAAGUAAAUUGACAAUAUCGACGCCCACAACUGCUUUGUGUUCUACUCGUGCAUAGAAACUACGCAUAAACCUAGCUCAUGAUGCCACUCUUGGGGAUCAUAGCAGAAAUUUAAAAUUUUCUACGCAUCACCAAGAUCAAUCUAUGGAGUAAUCUAGCAACGAGGGGAAGGGGAGUGCAUCUACAUACCCUUUUAGAUCGCUAAGCGGAAGCGUUGCAAGAACGCGGAUGAAGGAGCCGUGCUCGCAGCGAUUCAGAUCGCGGUUGAUUCCGAUCUAAGCGCCGAACAACGGCGCCUCCGCGUUCAACACACGUGCAGCCCGGUAACGUCUCCUACGCCUUGAUCCAGGAAGGGGAGAAGGAGAGGUUGGGGAAGACUCCGUCCAGCAGCAGCACGAUAGCGUGGUGGUGUUGGAGGAGCGCGGGACUCCAGCAGGGCUUCGCCAAGCACUACGAGAGAUGAGGAGGGAGAGGGGUAGGGCUGCGCCAACAGAAAGAUCGAAUCGUGUGUUGGGCUGCCCCUUUGCCUCCACUAUAUAUAGGGGGAGAGGGAGGGCUGCGCCCCCACCUAAGGUUCCCACCCCAAGGGGUGCGGCAGCCCUAGAUCCCAUCUAGGGUGGCGGCCAUAAGGGGGAGAGGGGGAGGCGCACCUGGGGUGGGCCUUAGGGUCCAUCUGCCCUAGGGUUUGCCCCCCUCCCCUCUUGGAGGCGCCUUGGGCCUUUGUGGGAGGCGCCCCUGCCCACCUAGGGGCUGAUCCCUUCCCACUAUUGGCCCAUGUAUGCCUCCGGGGCCCGUGGCCCCUCCCGGUGGACCCCCGGACCCCUCCGGUGGUCCCGGUACACUAUCGGUGAUGCCCGAAACACUUUCGGUGGUCAAAACCAUACUUCCUAUAUAUCAAUCUUUACCUCAGGACCAUUCCGGAACUCCUCGUGACGUCCAUGAUCUCAUCCGAGACUCCGAACAACAUUCGGUAACCGCGUACAUACUUUCCCUAUAACCCUAGCGUCAUCGAACCUUAAGUGUGUAGACCCUACGGGUUCGGGAGUCAUGCAGACAUGGACGAGACAACUCUCCAGUCAAUAACCAACAGCGGGAUAUGGAUACCCAUGUUGGUUCCCACAUGCCCCACGGUGAUCUCAUCGGAUGAACCACGAUGUCAAGGAUUCAAUCAAUCCCGUAUACAAUUCCCUUUGUCUAGCGGUAUAGUACUUGCCCGAGAUUCGAUCGUCGGUAUCCCGAUACCUUGUUCAAUCUCGUUACCGGCAAGUCUCUUUACUCGUUCCGUAACACAUCAUCCCGUGAUCAACUCCUUGGUCACAUUGUGCACAUUAUGAUGAUGUCCUACCGAGUGGGCCCAGAGAUACCUCUCCGUUUACACGGAGUGACAAAUCCCAGUCUUGAUUCGUGCCAACCCAACAGACACUUUCGGAGAUACCCGUAGUGCACCUUUAUAGCCACCCAGUUAUGUUGUGACGUUUGGCACACCCAAAGCACUCUUACGGUAUCCGGGAGUUGCACAAUCUCAUGGUUUAAGGAAAUGAUACUUGACAUUAGAAAAGCUUUAGCAAACGAACUACACGAUCUUGUGCUAGGCUUAGGAUUGGGUCUUGUCCAUCACAUCAUUCUCCUAAUGAUGUGAUCCCGUUAUCAACGACAUCCAAUGUCCAUGGUCAGGAAACCGUAACCAUCUAUUGAUCAACGAGCUAGUCAACUAGAGGCUUACUAGGGACAUGGUGUUGUCUAUGUAUCCACACAUGUAUCUGAGUUUCCUAUCAAUACAAUUCUAGCAUGGAUAAUAAACGAUUAUCAUGAACAAUGAAAUAUAAUAUAAUAAUAACUAAUUUAUUAUUGCCUCUAGGGCAUAUUUCCAACAAUAGAAUGCGAAGAUGUGUGCAUGAGACUUUUUACAUAAUUAUUUGACAUUUAGAAAUACGUUUUUCAGAGUGGGUUCAUAUACCCAUGGCUUCAUCUAUGCACUUCUCACUAGAGUGGCCCCUAAACUAUACCACUAUAGCAACAAACAAUCACCAUGUCAACGGGUACAUGCCACACUUGUAAUUAUGCAUAACCACCCGAGUUACGGGCAUAUUGUACUUUAGGUCCUUGGUCGUGCGGGAAAUUGGAAAAACUAUACCCAAGGGCCCACAGACCCCUACCAAACCCAUGCAUCUUCGUCGCCUCCCCUCUCGACGUCUCCGAGGCGAACCAGGUGCCACGCCGUCAUGGAGGUUGACCCCGUCGUGGAGUUCGACGCUGGUGAUCGAGGGCGGCAUGGAGUCGUGUCUUCGGUCGGUAACUAGCGGAGUUCUCGCCUGAAUAUGGUAUGUAGUUAUUCCAUGGUUGCAUUCUGUUUGCCAUGUACCGUCGUGCCCGCUUGGUUAGGUUUUUGAGUCGCUAGUGAUCAUACCUAGUUGUUGAAAGUUUUGGCUAACAUUUAGCUAGUUUGUGUGUGUAUCGGUAGCACGAGUAAGGAGGAACUCCUGGUAGAUAUUUGCUUGGAGGAUUGAGGCUAUGGUUAUGUGAUGUUGUGAGGAGAUUGAGGGGCAUUUAUAAGAGGGUAGUUUCCACGGCAUCAAUGCAGGGAUGUUUUGAGGGGAUUUGUGAGGGAAAGCAAGCUCAUUUAGAAGGGUGUGAUGUUGAUUUUGAGGGAACAUUUGUGUAUUGUUGUGUUUAUUUGUAAGUUCAGAUAAUGGAAUGACAUUUAUUCAGUUAUAUGCAUAUUGGUACCGAGUGGAUUUUGGGAAAAAAACUUGCUAUAAUAUGAGAAAAUAGUAGAUUUUAGUUGUUGCGAUAUGAGAAAAAAGUGUAAUUCAGGUGAUGUUCAGUUCAUGGUUCGGUUUAGUGCUCUUGUCGCGCAUAUGGUCAGUGCAUUGUCGGUUAUGAAGAUGUGUAGUUCAUAUAUAAAUUGGAUUUUUAUUUAUAUAUCUAUUGAGAGCAUUGUUGAUUAUAAUAGUUUAUAGUUCAUAUGUUUGAAAUAUGUUCAGUGCAUUUUCAUAUGUUCAUAUGUUGUAGUAGUUUACAAUAGAUGUUGUGGUGCAUGCUCAUAUGUUUAGCACAUUGUAUGUUGAUAUGUUCAACGGGUAAAUUGGUCUUUGUUAUAGUGAUUUACAGUACAUGUUGUUGGGGAACGCAAUAAUUUCAAAAAAAAUCCUACGCACACGCAACAUCCAUCUAGGUGAUGCAUAGCAACGAGAGGGGAAAAGUGUUGUCCACGUAUCCUCGUAGACCUUAAGCGAGAGUGUUAUGACAACGCAGUUGAUGUAGUCGCACGUCUUCACGAUCCGACUGAUCCUAGCACCGAAGGUACGGCACCUCCGCGAUCUGCACACGUUCAGCUCGGUGACGUCCCGCGAACUCUAGAUCCAGCUGAGUGUCGAGGGAGAGUUUCAUCAGCACAACGGCGUGAUGACGAUGAUGAUCAAGCUACUGGCGCAGGGCUUCGCCUAAGCACUGCAACGAUAUGACCGAGGUGGAAAUCUUUGGAGGAGGGCACCGCACACGGCUAAACAAUUAACUUGUGUGUCUAUGGGUGCCCCCUCCCCCGUAUAUAAAGGAGUGGAGGAGGGGGAGGGUCGGCCCCUCUAUGGCGUGCCCAAGGGGAGUCCUACUCCCACUAGGAGUAGGAUCCCCCCCUUCCCUAGUUGGAUUAGGAGAGGAAGGAAGGGGGAUAGAGGGGGAAGGAAAGGGGGCACCCAAUUCGGAUUGGGCUUGGGGGAGGCGCCCCCUCCUAGGCUCCCUUCUCCUCUCUCCCACUAUGACCCAAUAAGGCCCAUAUACUUCCUGGGAGGUUCCAGUAACCUCCCGGUACUUCGGUAUAUGCCCGAACUCACCCGGAACCAUUCCGAUGUCCAAACAUAGGCUUCCAUUAUAUCAAUCUUUAUGUCUCGACCAUUCUGAGACUCCUCGUCAUGUCUGUGAUCAUAUCCGGGACUCCGAACUACCUUCGGUAUAUCAAAACACAUAAACUCAUAAUACCGAACGUUAAGCGUGCGGACCCUACGGGUUCGAGAACUAUGUAGACAUGACCGAGACUUAUCUCGGUCAAUAACCAAUAGCGGAACCUGGAUGCUCAUAUUGGUUCCUACAUAUUCUACGAAGAUCUUUAUUUGUCAAACUGCAUAACAACAUACGUUGUUCCCUUUGUCAUCCCGUAACUAACUCAUUAGUCACAUUGCUUGCAAGGCUUAUAGUGAUGUGCAUUACCGAGAGGGCCCAGAGAUACCUCUCCGAUACACAGAGUGGCAAAUCCUAAUCUCGAUCUAUGCCAACUCAACAAACACCAUCGGAGACACCUGUAGAGCAUCUUUAUAGUCACCCAAUUACGUUGUGAUGUUUGAUAGCACACUAAGUGUUCCUCGGUAUUCGGGAGUUGCAUAAUCUCAUAGUCAUAGGAACAUGCAUAAGUUAAGGAGAAAGCAAUAGCAGUAAACUAAACGAUCAAAGUGCUAAGCUAACGGAUGGGUCAAGUCAAUCACAUUAUUCUCUAAUGAUGUGAUCCCGUUUAUCAAAUGACAACUCUUUGUCCAUGGCUAGGAAACUUAACCAUCUUUGAUCAACGAGCUAGUCAGGUAGAUGCAUACUAGCGACACUCUGUUUGUCUAUGUAUUCACACAUGUACUAAGUUUCCGGUUAAUACAAUUCUAGCAUGAAUAAUAAACAUUUAUCAUAAUAUAAGGAAAUAUAAAUAACAACUUUACUAUUGCCUCUAGGGCAUAUUUCCUUCACAUGUUCCACUUAUAAGUAAUUGUUCUGUGAACUAAGAAGUUCAUCUUCCCAAUCUAGGCACUCACUAAUGGAGAAGAAAGUCAUCUAUUUUUUUAGUUGAGUUUGAGCAUAAUGAAUUUUUCAUAGGAAAAGGCACAAAGAGACCAUACAUUGGCUGCACACGUGAUGUGUUUGACUACUGUCAUGCAAAGACAUGUUUAGUGGGGACGGUUAAGUAUUACUUAUCUAGGCUGAACUAUUACCCUGCAGAUCCCUUAAUCAAGGUGUAUUGGUGCUUGCUAGGGAAGGACAUAUAUAGUGGAUGGUCUUGUAUGUGUGGACAGUGUUGAAGAAAUGGCUGCAACGGUGAGUGCAAGUAGAGAAGUCAAGACAUUGGAGGUCCUAGUGGAUGAGAAAACCAAGAUCAGAACAUAGUAUGAUGAUGUCAUACUUAAUGGAUUCCCAUAAAUGCCAAGGGUUAUGACACUUAGAGAAAUGCCAAUGUCUUGUUAGUCUAGAGAGGGAACUUCUGAUAGCAAUGGUCCAAAUGCAAGUGAGACAGAGGAACCAUGGGAUGCAAAGGAAGUGGUGGAAACAGGCGAAGGAUGAGACAAUGAAGAAUCUUUUUGUGGGCCAUUGCUAGGUCAACAAAUUUAGAUAAUUGGAACUUGAACAGGGGCAACCUCAAGGACCAAACCUUAGAAGCUUGCAACUGGUUGGAUGGCAAGGUCCCAAACUUGUGGACGAAAGCAUUUUUCUCAGAUUUUCCCAAGUGUGACAUACUGUUGAAUGCUUCCUCUCAGAUAGGAAGGUGUUGAGCCCUCAAGUGCAAUGGUUUGCAGCAAGCAACAUUUUCCCCUCAAAAUGGAUGACCUCAAGGUUUAUCAAACAUGUAGGAGCUUUCAACUACAACCAAUGAUAAGUAUUUGCACACACAAAUACAAAACUUGCCUUGUCCCCCAAUGAAACUUGUAAGAUUGUUAGUCUUACUAGCCUUGCCAGUUACAAGGAUUAAUGCAACUUGUGUUUGAAAAAAUAUAAUUGCAAGGAAAAUAAAAGAACGAAAAGAAAAGAAAUUACAACAAAGUUAUUGAGGUUGAAUGCAAUGGGAAAAGAAUGGACCAGGAUCCAUAUGUUCACUAGUGGUUUCCCUGGAAAAAAUAGCAAGGUGUGGUAAACAAAUUACACUUGUGUAUCGAUUAAAUUACAGUUUUUAUGAUUAUGACUAUAGAUGGCAUUAUUGCAUACUGUCAUCAUGUCCGGACAUCCAUAGACCAUUAAUCCAACUUCAUCUACAACUAAUACUCCACUUCGAUACUGAUAUCCAGCAUGCAUCUCAGACUAGUAAGUAAAGAAUAGAGUAGUGCAUUACGCAUAAUGACGUGAUGUUGAUGAUAUAUUGUCUUCACCCUGCGUUCAAAAGACAAUUACCCAAUAAUAUUUGUGUCAUAGUGGCAACAUCACAACACAAGACCUUUUCACUUUCUAUCAUUGGGGUAGAUUACUCUCAAGAUUGAAGCCAACAAACAUACACAACUCUCUCUUGGAUAUCAUCCAUCAAACUAGGCCAAAGAAAGGCAAAUAGACCGGGAAAUUUCUAAUCUUUUGUAACAUUACUAUAGAUUAAUUCAUGCAAUUUUAUUUAUACCACCAAAGCAUACAUAUUAUUUUUAUCACCAAAAAAUUAACCAAUCCUAACUAUCAAUUACAAUUCAACUCUUUAAAAAUAUAUAAGUGAAGCAAAAGAGUUCUAAUCAUUUCAGACAGGACUACUGUAAUGCUCUAAAAAGUAUAAGUGAAGCAAUAGAGCAAUUCCAUAAAUGCAAGGACAUGGAGUGCUAUGCACAUUUAUCAUGAUGUGAUGAUUGAUCAUGAGCAGCAAUCAAAAUCAACAUACACUGCAAGAAUAACACAUAUCAUGUGUAGCGCCCCGAGACCGGUGCUAUGCAGAUCCGGCACUAUGCAGAUCUAGCAACCUUGGCAUAAUAUCGAUCCCAGAACUCCACCUUCACAAAACAUACAUGUGAAAAUGUGCACGCUAUGUGGUGAAGCGUCAAUAUCACAUCACAGACUUCGCACACAACAACAAUAAUACAUAUAUACUAUAAUUCAUAAAACAAGGGUUUUUUAAUCAAAAUCCAACUCAUACAAGGGAAGCAAAUAAACCUUAUAUAGGUGAGAUUGCAAAUUCCCUUAAGAAGGCUCAGAGUAAAAAAAAUCCAUGACCCUGCCCAGACCGCUAUCACACCUCGACCUCGGCAAAUAUAAUGUCAACAUAAGAAGCAUCAAACAUAGCAAGAAAUGGAACAUUUCCACAUCUCAAUAGCAACAAGAACAGAUAGGGAAUCGCACUUGAAUUCAUUUUGCAAUUCGCAUCAUAACAUCAACCGAACUGAUAAACAAAAUGUAAGAAACAGCAUCAAACAUUUUCAGAUCUCAAUACUGAAACUACUAAAUUAUUUCAGUGUUUUACUUAAGAUCACAGUAUGGGAACAGACUAUGUUCAGGGUUGAUCAGACAAUUCUUAAGGAAUUCGAUUCAGAUAUAGAAAACAUGGACGCUGGAAUUUCAGAUCUCAGUAAUCGCAUCUCCAGACCACGCCUCAAUACAUCAACUGUUAUUUGAGGAAGACUUUCAGAUCUCAGUGCAGGAACAAUUAUUUCAAGAUAAUUCAGAGUUUACCAGAGACAUUUGAGGGAUUUGAAUCAUAUACAGAAAGAAGCAUGACAGAUUACAUUCAAGCAUUUCGACGAACACACGGCAUGCUGCCUCUCCGAGAUCACACCACAAUCGCUAGAGCCAAGAACAGGGAUUGCAAAUGGAAACGGGCACCUAUCCAUCAGUGCUUCGACCUCGGCGACGUCCUCCUUGCCGCCGGCGCCUCAGCGGUCUUCCUCUUCGGUGAUGUCUUCGCCGCCGGCGC
rnacentral:lncRNA from 1 species